AGUAACACGUGGAUAAUCUACCCGACAAUAUGGGAUAACAUUUCGAAAGGAAUGCUAAUACCAAAUAAGCCCACGACGUCUUCGGACGAUGUGGGAAAAGGUGGGGACCUUCGGGCCUACCGUUGUCGGAUGAGUCCGCGUCCCAUUAGCUAGUUGGUAGGGUAAUGGCCUACCAAGGCUACGAUGGGUAGCUGGUCUGAGAGGAUGAUCAGCCACACUGGAACUGAGACACGGUCCAG
rnacentral:rRNA from 1 species